UACGUAGGGGGCAAGCGUUGUCCGGAUUUAUUGGGCGUAAAGAGCGUGUAGGCGGCCUGAAAGGUCAGCUGUGAAAACUCGAGGCUCAACCUCGAGACGUCGGUUGAAACCAUCUGGCUAGAGUCCGGAAGAGGAGUGUGGAAUUCCCGGUGUAGCGGUGAAAUGCGCAGAUAUCGGGAAGAACACCAGUGGCGAAGGCGAUCACCUGGGGUUGUUCUGACGCUGAGGAGCGAAAGCUAGGGGAGCAAACGGG
rnacentral:rRNA from 1 species